rnacentral:lncRNA from 1 species
AUCAAAUGCAAGGAAGAAUAUAAACACAGCAGCACUGAUUCAUCUGUUUACAGAGAAAAAAAUUCUUCAGGAAAAGGAAUCGUUUUGCUGUGUUUCCCUUAUGCAUGGCUGCUCUGCUUCCUGCUAUUCUCUUUUUCCACUGCUGUGAUAAUAAGGUGGAUGCUGGAAACACACUUCAGUGAUCCACGUCUUGUCAAGCAAUUUUCAUGAAAAUCGCUGAAUGCUGGUAGAUGUGGUGAGUACUGUUUCAGAGUUGUUUUGUUCAUUCUUUUUCCAUUACUGCUUGUAGCAACUGGCAUUAAUUUUGUAGUGCUUCUGUUGAUCUUUCUACAUGCUGUACUACUAAUACCCAUUGCAGGAAGAAAGAAGGAACAAAAACCCAG